GAAGUUGAUCUGCCUCUGAAAAAAGAUGGGUUCACCUCAGAAAGUACAACUCUGGAAGCCUUGCUUCGUGGAGAGGGAAUAGAGAAAAAAACAGACACUAAAGAGGAAGACACUAUACAGGAAAUUCAGAGGGUUUUAGAAAAUGAUGACAAUGCAGAUGAAGUGAAUGAGGAAGAGGAUUUGGAAGAAGAUAUUCCAAAACGAAAGAACAGGCCUAGAGGACGGCCAAAGACUCCCACCUGGAAAAAAAUUUUCCAGAAAAAUGCUCGGGGAUCUGGAGGUGGCAGGAAACGGAAUGAUGCUGCCUCCCAGGAUGAUCAUGACAAACCCUAUGUUUGCGACAUCUGUGGCAAGCGUUACAAGAACAGGCCUGGGCUGAGCUACCACUAUGCUCACACCCACCUCGCCAGUGAAGAGGGUGAUGAAGCCCGCGAGCAGGAGACCCUCUCUUCCCCUGUCCACAGAAACGAAAACCACAAAC